AUGCAACACAACUGGGACAUGCAACACAACUGGGACUUGCAAAGCUGCUGGGGUGUGCAAUGGAAUCUGGACGUGCAACACAACUGGGACUUUGCUUCUUACCUAUUGGGGCGUGCAAGGCAACCUGGACUUGCUGCAGGACCUGGAUGUGCAAAUGGAUCUGAGCGUGCAACGCAACAGGGACGUGCAAUGGGACUGGGACGUGCAACACAAGUGGGACGUGCAAAGCUGUUGGGGCGUGCAAAGGGAUCGAGGUGUGCAAGGAUCCGGAUUUGCAAAGCUAUUGAGUUGUGCAACACAACUGGGACUCGCAGCAGGACCUGGUUGUGCAAAUGGGUCCUGAGUGUGCAAUGCAACCCGGGGCAUGCGAUGAGACUUGGGUGUGCAACACGACUGGGUCUGGGGUGUGCAACGCAACCUGGAUUUGCAGCAGGACCUGAUUGUGCAACAGGAUCUGGGUGUGCAAUGCGACCUGGGAAGUGCAAUGGGGCGUGCAAAGCUAUGGGGGCGUGCAACAGGAUUGGGGCGUGCAAUGAGACCUGGACGUGCAACGGGGUUGGGUGUGCAAUGCAACCUGGCCUUGCAGCGACACUUGGACGUGAAAAAGGGAUUGGGUGUGCAACGGGAUUUGGGUGUGCAAGGCGACUUGGAUUUGCAGCAAGAUGUGGAUGUGCAACAGCGUCUGGGCGUGCAACAAGAUUUGGGUGUGCAAGGCAACUUGGAUUUGCAGCAGGAUCUUCAGGAUGUGGAUGUGCAAAGGGAUUUGGGCGUGCAACACAAGCGGGACGUGCAACAAGAUUGGGAUGUGCAACGGGAUUGGAUGUGCAACGGCGUCUGAGCGUGCAACAAGAUUUGGGUGUGCAAGGCAGCUUGGAUUUGCAGCAGGAUGUGGAUGUGCAAAUGGAUUUUGGGCGUGCAACACACGUGGGACGUGAAAAUGGAUUCAGGUGUGGAAGGCAACUGAGACGUGCAACGGCACUUGGAUGUGCAACGAUGCGUGUGCAAAGGGGUUGGGGUGUGCAACACAAGUUGGAUGUGCCACGCAACUGGGACUUGCUGCAAGGAUCUGAGUGUGCAACAGGGUUGGGGUGUGCAACAACUGGGGCGUGCAAAGCCAGUGGGGCGUGCAACACAACUUGGAUGUGCGACACAAGUGGGACGUGCAAGGAGUUUGGGGUGUGUGACACAACUGGGACGUGCAACGGGUCACGGGCAUGCAACAGGAUUGGCGUGUGCAAAGGGGUUGGGGUGUGUGCAAUGGAGCUGGGUGUGCAAAGGGAUGGGGGUGUGCAACACAAGUGGGCGUGCAACAACACUUGGAUGUGCAACGGGAUUGGGCGUGCAACAGCACCUGGAUGUGCAAUGGGAUUUGGGCGUGCAACACAAGUGGGACUUGCAACGCAACCGGGGCGUGCAAGAGGAUCUGGGUGUGCAAAGGGAUUUGGGUUUGCAAGGCAACAUGGGCGUGCAACGAUGCUUGGAUGUGCAAUAGGAUUUCAGCGUGCAACACAACUUGGAUGUGCAAUGACGCUUGAGUGUGCAACAGGAUUGAGUGAGUGA
ensembl:lncRNA